rnacentral:rRNA from 1 species
AGUGAACGCUGGCGGUAGGCCUAACACAUGCAAGUCGAACGGCAGCACAGUAAGAGCUUGCUCUUACGGGUGGCGAGUGGCGGACGGGUGAGGAAUACAUCGGAAUCUACUUUUUCGUGGGGGAUAACGUAGGGAAACUUACGCUAAUACCGCAUACGACCUACGGGUGAAAGCAGGGGAUCUUCGGACCUUGCGCGAUUGAAUGAGCCGAUGUCGGAUUAGCUAGUUGGGGGUAAAGGCCCACCAAGGCGACGAUCCGUAGCUGGUCUGAGAGGAUGAUCAGCCACACUGGAACUGGGACACGGUCCAGACUCCUACGGGAGGCAGCAGUGGGGAAUAUUGGACAAUGGGCGCAAGCCUGAUCCAGCCAUACCGCGUGGGUGAAGAAGGCCUUCGGGUUGUAAAGCCCUUUUGUUGGGAAAGAAAAGCAGCAGGUUAAUACCCCUCUGUUCUGACGGUACCCAAAGAAUAAGCACCGGCUAACUUCGUG